AUUGAACGCUGGUGGCAUGCCUUACACAUGCAAGUCGAACGGCAGCACGGGAGCAAUCCUGGUGGCGAGUGGCGAACGGGUGAGUAAUAUAUCGGAACGUGCCCAGUCGUGGGGGAUAACGCAGCGAAAGCUGUGCUAAUACCGCAUACGAUCUAAGGAUGAAAGCGGGGGAUCGCAAGAACUCGCGCGAUUGGAGCGGCCGAUAUCAGAUUAGCUAGUUGGUGGGGUAAAGGCCCACCAAGGCGACGAUCUGUAGCUGGUCUGAGAGGACGACCAGCCACACUGGAACUGAGACACGGUCCAGACUCCUACGGGAGGCAGCAGUGGGGAAUUUUGGACAAUGGGCGCAAGCCUGAUCCAGCAAUGCCGCGUGCAGGAUGAAGGCCUUCGGGUUGUAAACUGCUUUUGUACGGAACGAAACGGCCCUUUCUAAUACAGGGGGCUAAUGACGGUACCGUAAGAAUAAGCACCGGCUAACUACGUGCCAGCCGCCGCGGUAAAAC
rnacentral:rRNA from 1 species